rnacentral:rRNA from 1 species
CUUGGGUACUCGAGUGGCGAACGGGUGAGUAACACGUGGGUGAUCUGCCCUGCACUUCGGGAUAAGCCUGGGAAACUGGGUCUAAUACCGGAUAGGACCACAUUUUGGAUGGUGUGGUGGAAAGUUUUUCGGUGUGGGAUGAGCUCGCGGCCUAUCAGCUUGUUGGUGGGGUAAUGGCCUACCAAGGCGUCGACGGGUAGCCGGCCUGAGAGGGUGUACGGCAACAUUGGGACUGAGAUACGGCCCAG